GUUUCCGUCCCCUUGCGGGGAAAAGGUAGGGAUCAAC
rfam:Synechococcus sp. JA-2-3B'a(2-13), complete genome.